ensembl:lncRNA
CAACAACUCACCAAGAGACACACAACAACUCACCAAGAGACACACGGCAACACCAAAGAGACACUAAGAGAUUCAAAGUGAUCAAUAUUUAAGAAUUAUCAGAGAAAAACGCAUGGAGGAAGAUCAUGAAGAAGGUCCUGAGGUAUAAAAUGCCUCUUUAGCGCAAUGAGGCCUGAAGCUGAGUACGAUGCUCUGGACCAGAAACCAGACCGGAGGAAGGAGGACCAGCUGGUCAAACUGACCCAGCUGGACCUCAUUAAAGAGAAGGACAGAGAACCAGAACCUGCAACAAGGCUUUAGAGGACCAGACCCCCAGAGACCUGCCCCUGAAAGAACAAAGCCCCAGAAUAAAAGCCUCGGACAGGAAGUCGGAGAAGGAGCGGUUGGACGUGAAAUUAAAAGAUAUGGAGGACGAGAAGAUGCAGCAGGAAGGAAGCAGUGAAGGAUAAAAACUGGCUUCAUCUGUUUAGCGCAGGUAGUUUGGUAGUUAGCAUGUUAGCUUGGACAAUGCAUGCAACUGGAGAAAAAGUAAACAUGCCGUAAUGUUGCUGUGCUCAUUAAAUAUUAUUG